rnacentral:misc_RNA from 1 species
GAUGAAGAACGUAGCGAAAUGCGAUAAGUAGUGUGAAUUGCAGACUUUAGUGAAUCAUCGAAUCUUUGAACGCACAUUGCGCCCGCUGGUAUUCCGGCGGGCAUGCCUGUUCGAGCGUCAUUUCAACCCUCAAGCCCCCGGGUUUGGUGUUGGGGAUCGGCUCUGCCCUUCUGGGCGGUGCCGCCCCCGAAAUACAUUGGCGGUCUCGCUGCAGCCUCCAUUGCGUAGUAGCUAACACCUCGCAACUGGAACGCGGCGCGGCCAUGCCGUAAAACCCCAACUUCUGAAUGUUGACCUCGGAUCAGGUAGGAAUACCCGCUGAACUUAAGCAUAUCAAUAAGCGGAGGA